UUACAUGUCAGACCUUUAAUAAAACUGGUUACUAAUGGGAACAAAAAUAAAUCUAGAGGAGUCGUUGCACACCUGCGCCCCCUUCAGUUUUCAACAACAGUCAAGUGAGCUACAGUGUCCCUCAGUAAAUAAAAUUCUUACGUCUUAUGCCAAACUUCAGA